UCUGCAGGGAUGCGAUUGCGGCACCGGAGGAUGUGAGGAAACACGUGGUUAGGGCUUUUGCGGCUCUCAGCUCAGUUUCACGCAGCCCCGCUGGCUUCGGGGGCAGCAGAAAGCACAAGAGCUUUGGGUGGGAGGUUGUGAGCUGCAGGGCAUCUGGUCUUCGCCCGCCAGAUCCAGCCUGGAUUGCAUAUAAAAUCAUGUUCUGGUCUUUUAAGGUAUGAGGAUUUCUUAUUCCUCUGGAGGAACCAAGGGGUCUGGGACACAGCGGCUCAGUGGAAGGGAGAACACAUCUCCCAUGGGUGAGAGGGCAGUGAGGACCCAUGUGAAGGCAACAGGACAUAGGAUGACAGUGUACAUUUGUCUGCCUUUCUGUGGAGUUUGGCUUUCCAGAAGAGCGUUUCUGUAUCAGCACAUCUGAGAAACAGCAGUCGCUUUGGUAAUGCUGACCCUGAAGAAGAGUCACAAAAACUAGUCAUCUCCCUGGAUGGAAAUACAUUCUGUUAUGGUACUGUUUUUCAGAGAGACUGCUAUUAUUUCCUUUCAUGUUUAACAACUGAUGGAAAUCUGUUCUUGGCUUUAGUAGUAGAUUCUGACUGGAAUGGAUGCUGCACUUUAUAGAUAGCUUUCAAUUGUUCUACAGCAAUAAAAAGUUUAUUAAAAUGACAUGGUUUUGCAACAUGACAUACUGCUAUUGUUGCUGUCCAGGAAACGAAUUUGCAACAGACUUUUUUCCUAUGAUUCUUCUGGCAAUUGUUUUCUUCUGUUUCUGACAGCCUUUACAGGCUACCCUCGGUUCCUGUGAUUUGCAAUAAUGUUUUAAAAAUAGGUUUUAAUUCUGAAGUGGCAGCUUGAAUUGAGUAUAAAUCAUUCCAUUCUCACGAGAAAAAAUAAUUAAAUCCCGAUAAGGAUGAGAAUUACAUUUACUUGUGCUUUCUCCUGUAAAUAUUUAUUUUGGGGGUGUUGGGCUGUUCUUUGCAUAUGAAUUGAAUGAACUGAAAGAUGAAAACAUGCUCACCAGUAUGUGUUUCUUUGAGAAAAGCUUCUGGAGUCGGCAGUGAACAUCCACAGCCAGUAGCAGAGCUGAAAUGCAGCCUCAGGAAAAGUCACAGGCACUUUGGAAACCUGGGUGAUUAAAUUCAGCCUCUUCAGCUUGGUCUGUUCCACAGUCCGUGGAAAGACUCAAUUCUUUUUCUUCCAGACUUUAAGUAGAAGAUAUUUAACAAAACUGCAGUAGUUUCUGGUCCUAAAAUUUUCUUCCCAAAGCCUUUUCCAUGAAAUCCUUUGUCAGGGAACAUGAACCUGCGUUUUGGUCUCUGAAUUAUAUCAGAGCAUCCCUAUGGCUAAGCAGUCGUGAACUAAAUCAUAGACUGGAUGUUGGUUUAUGUUAUUUCUUCAUUGUAUAUUUCUCAAGGCACCUGGAGAGAAGACCCAGAUUAUUUUUACAAAUGCUCUGUGUCAUGCCUGUUGUGUGACUGUGGAACUGGCCAUGUAGUUAGCAGGAACAUCUCUGUACCAGUUGUGUGGAGCAGUGGAAAGAUGCAUGACGUAAAGGCAUUUGUUUUCACCUUCCUGGGCUACCUUCCUGCUGCUUGCCUUCACUCCUGUUCCCAGUGCUUCUGCCCUAACGAAACAAGGGAGAUCUCAGAGCAAGGUAAAAAAGGUGAGUUGCUUCCCCUGCAUGAAGUACUAAGGGAGAGGAGGGUGCAGCAGAGGGAUUAAGAAAUAAACCUUGAUCACUGCUUUUGUGGCAGCAGCCGUGUCCCUGACUAAGGAAGAAAGUAACCACAAAGCGUCAGCAGCAGAACCAGAGCUAAGGUGCAACU